UUGUAAAAAAACUCUCUAAAAAUAUUUGCUGGGUUUCUCCCAAUCUGGGAGCUGGCGUAUCGAUUUGGUGUUUUAUGAAUACUAAGUUGAUUGUUUGGUGAUUUGUGUGUGUGCGAUUGAGAGAUCCGUGAGUUAUUUGAAUCAUGAUGAAGGAGAUCGAGAAACUUAAGAGCACUCCUCAAGCAAAAACGGAAGAGCGGGAGAGGAAGGCACUGAGCUCUACCGAGAGAGGUUGGUACGAGCACUUGCUCGAGAUACACAAGUUCCCCUGUUGGUUCUUGCGCACCUUAUGAUUCUGCUUACGACUACAAUGAAGAGUCUGAAUCAGAUGAUGACAUUGCAGAAUCGGAUCAGUGCACUUCAGAGUCAGAAGCUGAGGAAGAAACCGAUGCAAACAAUAUAAAGAACAACCUUGAUAUUUGAAACUAGCUGCAAGGGUUUUUCCUGGUGGGUAGCCUAUGGUUGGAAAUCAGGGUUUAGUAGGAUCUAUUUAUGUUAUUAGGUUAUAGUGUUAGUAGAAAAAUAGUUCUACGCUUGCUUCUGUUCUCUUCCUUCUACAUUUUUGAGCUCUUUGUUUAAAGGAAGGGGGGCUCAUAGGUAGUGCUUAUGUGUACACACCGCUAUGCAGAAUUGUUUUGUUUCUUCUGUGUUACUGAAACUGAGGAUGACUGUCUCUAUGCAACAUCUUAA